AACGAACGCUGGCGGCAGGCCUAACACAUGCAAGUCGAACGAGAAGCCACCUUCGGGUGGUGGACAGUGGCAGACGGGUGAGUAACGCGUGGGAACGUGCCUUUCGGUUCGGAAUAACCCAGGGAAACUUGGGCUAAUACCGGAUACGCUCUUCGGGGGAAAGAUUCAUUGCCGAAAGAUCGGCCCGCGUCGGAUUAGCUAGUUGGUGGGGUAAUGGCUCACCAAGGCGACGAUCCGUAGCUGGUGUUAGAGGAUGACCAGCCACACUGGGACUGCGACACGGCCCAGACUCCUGCGGGAGGCAGCAGUGGUGAAUAUUGGACAAUGGGCGAAAGCCUGAUCCAGCCAUGCCGCGUGGGUGAAGAAGGCCUUAGGGUUGUAAACCCCUUUCAGCGGGGAAGAUAAUGACGGUACCCGCAGAAGAAGUCCCGGCUAACUCCGUGCCAGCCGCCGCCGUAAAAC
rnacentral:rRNA from 1 species